AAUCCAAAAUUAGGCCCAAAUACUUGAACUGGACUUGACCUUGGCGUUUUGUUUUGUUUUCUAGUGUGCUGUGCUGAUUAGGAGCUGGAUACAUAGGAAGCAUUGGUGAUAUCAGAGAUUGACUGGAUGCCUGAAGCACACAGGCAUUUUGUACAGCAUUGUACCAGGGUGAAAGAAAAAAAGAAAGCAACAGUCUGUAAGUAUUGGACAAACUAUCACGGGAGCUUAAUAGCAUUUUUUUUUCAAUGCUCAGAGGAUGCAAAUGCAAUGGAAUACGGGCACAGUAAUUUUGUUUCUUUUUUUUGUAAGUUGCUAAGAGUAAAAACAAAGCUGAGCUGCUUAUGGAGAACAAAUUAAUCUGCUAAAGUGCAAACAGA
rnacentral:lncRNA from 1 species